rnacentral:rRNA from 1 species
AGUCGAGGGGCAUCGGGAGGGAAGCUUGCUUUCCUUGCCGGCGACCGGCGCACGGGUGAGUAACACGUAUGCAACCUGCCCUCUUCAGGGGGACAACCUUCCGAAAGGGAGGCUAAUCCCGCGUAUAUCGGUUUCGGGCAUCCGAGAUCGAGGAAAGAUUCAUCGGAAGAGGAUGGGCAUGCGGCGCAUUAGCUUGACGGCGGGGUAACGGCCCACCGUGGCGACGAUGCGUAGGGGUUCUGAGAGGAAGGUCCCCCACACUGGUACUGAGACACGGACCAGACUCCUACGGGAGGCAGCAGUGAGGAAUAUUGGUCAAUGGGAGAGAUCCUGAACCAGCCAAGCCGCGUGAGGGAAGACGGCCCUAUGGGUUGUAAACCUCUUUUGUCGGAGAACAAAACCCGGGACGUGUCCCGGACUGCGUGUAUCCGAAGAAAAAGCAUCGGCUAACUCCGUGCCAGCAGCCGCGGUAAUACGGAGGAUGCGAGCGUUAUCCGGAUUUAUUGGGUUUAAAGGGUGCGUAGGCGGUCCGUUAAGUCAGCGGUAAAAUUGCGGGGCUCAACCCCGUCGAGCCGUUGAAACUGGCAGACUUGAGUUGGCGAGAAGUACGCGGAAUGCGCGGUGUAGCGGUGAAAUGCAUAGAUAUCGCGCAGAACUCCGAUUGCGAAGGCAGCGUACCGGCGCCAGACUGACGCUGAGGCACGAAAGCGUGGGGAUCGAACAGGAUUAGAUACCCUGGUAGUCCACGCAGUAAACGAUGAAUGCUGGUUGUCCGGGUCGAAUGAGAUCUGGGCGGCGAAGCGAAAGCGAUAAGCAUUCCACCUGGGGAGUACGCCGGCAACGGUGAAACUCAAAGGAAUUGACGGGGGCCCGCACAAGCGGAGGAACAUGUGGUUUAAUUCGAUGAUACGCGAGGAACCUUACCCGGGC